rnacentral:rRNA from 1 species
UACAGAGGUCUCGAGCGUUAAUCGGAGUCACUGGGCUUAAAGGGUGCGUAGGCCGCCUCGCAAGUGCUUUGUGAAAUCCCACGGCUCAACCGUGGAAUGGCUUGGCAGACUGCGGGGCUUGAGGUCGGUAGGGGCAGCCGGAACUCUAGGUGGAGCGGUGAAAUGCGUUGAUAUCUAGAGGAACGCCAAAGGUGAAGACAGGCUGCUGGGCCGAUACUGACGCUGAGGAGCGAAAGCGUGGGGAGCGAACAGG